rnacentral:rRNA from 1 species
CUACGGGUCGCAGCAGUAAAGAAUCUUCCGCAAUGGGCGAAAGCCUGACGGAGCAACACUGCGUGGUGGAUGAAGGCCUUCGGGUCGUAAACACCUUUUCUGGGGGAAGAAGUUCUGACGGUACCCCAGGAAUAAGCACCGGCUAAUUACGUGCCAGCAGCCGCGGUAAUACGUAAGGUGCAAGCGUUAUCCGGAAUCAUUGGGCGUAAAGCGUCCGUAGGCGGUUUUGUAAGUCUGAGGUUAAAUCCCUCCGCUCAACGGAGGAAUCGUCUCGGAAACUGCAUCACUUGAGUCGUGCAGGGGCAGAUGGAAUUCCAGAAGUAGGGGUAAAAUCCGUAGAUCUCUGGAGGUACACCAAACGCGAAGGCAUUCUGCUGGGCACGUACUGACGCUGAGGGACGAAAGCGUGGGGAGCAAACGGGAUUAGAUACCCGAGUAGUC